GACGAACGCUGGCGGCGCGCUUAACACAUGCAAGUCGAGCGGAGCGGCGGUCGGGGGAGUAACACGUGAGUAACCUGCCUUAGAAAUUGGGAUAGCCUCGGGAAACCGGGAACAAUACCAAAUGGUCUAAGAUGGACUCGCGUCCCAUUAGAUAGUUGGUGAGGUAACGGCCCACCAAGGCGACGAUGGGUAGCCGGCCUCAGAGACUGGACGGCCACAUUGGAACUGGGAAGCGGUCCAAACUCUACGGGAGGCAGCAGUGGCGAAUAUUGCACAAUGGAGGGAAUUCUGAUGCAGCGACGCCGCGUGAACAAAUAAGGCUUUCGAGUAGUAAAGUUCUUUUAUAUGGGAAGCGGUACCAUAAGAAAAAGCCCCGGCUAACUACGUGCCAGCAGCCGCGGUAAUAC
rnacentral:rRNA from 1 species